rnacentral:rRNA from 1 species
CCUACGGGAGGCAGCAGUGAGGAAUAUUGGACAAUGGGCGCAAGCCUGAUCCAGCCAUGCCGCGUGCAGGAAGAAGCAUCUAUGGUGUGUAAACUGCUUUUGUACGGGAAGAAACACUGCUACGUGUAGCAGCUUGACGGUACCGUAAGAAUAAGGAUCGGCUAACUCCGUGCCAGCAGCCGCGGUAAUACGGAGGAUCCAAGCGUUAUCCGGAAUCAUUGGGUUUAAAGGGUCCGUAGGCGGUUUGGUAAGUCAGUGGUGAAAGCCCAUCGCUUAACGAUGGAACGGCCAUUGAUACUGCCAGACUUGAAUUACUAGGAAGUAACUAGAAUAUGUAGUGUAGCGGUGAAAUGCUUAGAUAUUACAUGGAAUACCAAUUGCGAAGGCAGGUUACUACUAGUUUAUUGACGCUGAUGGACGAAAGCGUGGGGAGCGAACAGGAUUAGAUACCCUGGUAGUCCACGCCGUAAACGAUGGAUACUAGCUGUUCGGGGUAACCUGAGUGGCUAAGCGAAAGUGAUAAGUAUCCACCUGGGGAGUACGUUCGCAAGAAUUGAAACUUCAAAGGAAUUGACGG